rnacentral:rRNA from 1 species
UGGGGAAUAUUGCACAAUGGGCGCAAGCCUGAUGCAGCCAUGCCGCGUGUGUGAAGAAGGCCUUCGGGUUGUAAAGCACUUUCAGCGGGGAGGAAGGCGGUGAGGCUAAUAACCUCACCGAUUGACGUUACCCGCAGAAGAAGCACCGGCUAACUCCGUGCCAGCAGCCGCGGUAAUACGGAGGGUGCAAGCGUUAAUCGGAAUUACUGGGCGUAAAGCGCACGCAGGCGGUCUGUCAAGUCGGAUGUGAAAUCCCCGGGCUCAACCUGGGAACUGCAUUCGAAACUGGCAGGCUAGAGUCUUGUAGAGGGGGGUAGAAUUCCAGGUGUAGCGGUGGGAUGCGUAGAGAUCUGGAGGAAUACCGGUGGCGAAGGCGGCCCCCUGGACAAAGACUGACGCUCAGGUGCGAAAGCGUGGGGAGCAAACAGG